rnacentral:lncRNA from 10 species
CAAGUUGACAUACACAAUCAACCUUCAUAUCUGCCUAAACAGUUCUCAGCACAUAGUUCAUGUGAAAUGAGUAUUUGCUGAAGAAACUUACAGAUCAAGUCACCCAAAUUUCAGAUGUGUCUUUGGGCCUUGGGACUUCUUCAAAUGUCAAUGUGCGUGAAUCACCCGGAAGCUUGUUAAAAUCCCAGCUCUGAUUCAGCAGCUCUGGGUGGGACCUGAGAUGACACAUGUCUUACGAGCUCCAGAUGGCAUCCAUGCUGCUGGUUAAGUGACCGCACUUCGCACGCAAACGUUCACUGCAGCACCGUUCUCAAUGGCAAAGACAUGGAAUCAACCUAAAUGCUCAUCAGUGGCAGACUGGAUAAAGAAAAUGUGGUACAUAUACACCACGGAAUACUAUGCAGCCAUAAAAAGAACAAGUUCAUGUCUUUUGUGGGAACAUGGAUGAAGUUGGAGGUCAUUAUUCUUAGCAAACUAACACAGGAACAGAAAACCGAAUACAGCAUGUUCUCACUUACACGUGGGAGCUAAAUGAUGAGAACUCAUGAACAGAAAGAAGGGAACAACAGACACUCGGGUAUACUUGAGGGUGGAGUGAGGGAGGAGGGAGAGGAGCAGAAAAAAAUAACUAUUGGGUACCAGGCUUAAUACUUGGAUGAUGAAAUAAUCUGUACAACAAGCCCUGUGACAUGAGUUUACCUAUAUAACAAACCUUCACAUGUACCUCCAAACCUAAAAUGAAAGUUAAAAAAGAAGAAAGACCUUGGAGGAUUUUAUCGACUUAGCAAACAUUUUUUUAAGAAUCUAUCCUGUGUGAGUCACUGUACCAGGAUCAGCUAGAACAGGGAGAUGGGAGUCAGGAAUAUCUGUACCUUGUAGUCAUCUCACUCCGUCGGGGAGAACAGACAUUGAGGCAAGGACCACACAGAUGAUCAAUCACAUUUCUGAUGAGCUCCAUGAGGAGAAGGAAGGGUGCCAUGGGGGCGUAAAUU